CACGUAGUUAGCCGGCGCUUCUUCUGCAGGUACCGUCACUCUCGCUUCUUCCCUACUGAAAGAGGUUUACAACCCGAAGGCCGUCAUCCCUCACGCGGCGUCGCUGCAUCAGGCUUUCGCCCAUUGUGCAAUAUUUCCCACUGCUGCCUCCCGUAGGAGUCUGGGCCGUGUCUCAGUCCCAGUGUGGCCGGUCGCCCUCUCAGGCCGGCUACCCGUCAUCGUCUUGGUGAGCCAUUACCUCACCAACAACUGAUAGGCCGCGAGUCCAUCCUUCACCGAUAAAUCUUUCCAACCCCCACCAUGCGACAAGGGUUCAUAUCCGGUAUUAGCCACGAUUUCCCGAGGUUAUCCCGAAGUGAAGGGCAGGUUACUCACGUGUUACUCACCCGUUCGCCACUAAUCAGACCGUGCAAGCACGGUCGUCAUCGUUCGACUUGCAUGUGUUAAGCACGCCGCCAGCGUGUCCUCGAGCCACGGAGUCAAACUC
rnacentral:rRNA from 1 species